rnacentral:rRNA from 1 species
GGCGUAGGGCGCGAGCGUUGUCCGGAUUUAUUGGGCGUAAAGAGCUCGUAGGCGGCUUGUUGCGUCGACUGUGAAAACCCGCGGCUUAACUGCGGGCUUGCAGUUGAUACGGGCAGGCUAGAGUUCGGUAGGGGAGACUGGAAUUCCUGGUGUAGCGGUGAAAUGCGCAGAUAUCAGGAGGAACACCGGUGGCGAAGGCGGGUCUCUGGGCCGAUACUGACGCUGAGGAGCGAAAGCGUGGGGAGCGAACAGG